CAGGUCCCUUCCCACGGAGCUCCUCCUCAGCCUGGGCUCGUUUGGACCCCGGGCGCUGCCCUCGCAGGGGCUCCCCGGGCAAAGACUGUGCUCCGGGAACUGCUUCUCC